AAUUUUGAAGGGCCGCAGUAUUCUGACUGUGCAAAGGUAGCAUAAUCAUUUGCCUUUUAAUUGGAGGCUAGUAUGAAUGGUUGAACGAAAUACAAACUGUCUCACUCUUAUAAUUGUAAAAAUUUAGCUUUCUAGUUAAAAGGCUUGAAUUUUAUUAAAGGACGAGAAGACCCUAUAGAACUUUAUAUAAUUUUGUAUAAAUAUUUAUAGUAAAAUAAUUUUAUUUAUAAACUAUUAUAUUUUGUUGGGGUGACAGGAAAAUUUAUUAAACUUUUUUAAUUUAAAACCAUUAAUUUAUGAAUAUUUGAUCCAUUAUUAUUGAUUAUUAGAAUAAGUUACCUUAGGGAUAACAGCGUAAUUUUGUUGGAGAGUUCUUAUCUAUAACAAAGUUUGCGACCUCGAUGUUGAAUUAAAGAAAUUUUAGAGUGCAGAAGCUUUAAGUAAUAGGUCUGUUCGACCUUUAAAUCUUUACAUGAUCUGAGU
rnacentral:rRNA from 1 species